ACGCGUGAGUAACCUGCCUCAUACAACGGGAUACCCGAGGGAAACUUCGGUUAAUACGGUAUAAGACCACACUACCGCAUGGUAGAGGGGUAAACGGGGCAACCUGGUAUGAGAUGGACUCGCGUCGCAUUAGCUAGUUGGUGAGGUAACGGCCCACCAAGGCGACGAUGCGUAGCCGACCUGAGAGGGUGAUCGGCCACAUUGGGACUGAGAUACGGCCCAGACUCCUACGGGAGGCAGCAGUGGGGAAUAUUGGGCAAUGGAGGAAACUCUGACCCAGCAAUGCCGCGUGAAUGAAGAAGGUCUUCGGAUUGUAAAGUUCUUUAGUCAGGGAAGAAGUCAAUGACGGUACCUGAAGAAUAAGCUCCGGCUAACUACGUGCCAGCAGCCGCGGUAAUACGUAGGGAGCAAGCGUUGUUCGGAAUGACUGGGCGUAAAGGGUGCGUAGGCGGUUGUACAAGUUAGAAGUGAAAUACCCAGGGCUUAACUCGGGUGCUGCUUCUAAAACUGUAUGACUUGAGUGCAGUAGAGGUUAGUGGAAUUCCUAGUGUAGCGGUGGAAUGUGUAGAUAUUAGGAGGAACACCAGAGGCGAAGGCGGCUAACUGGACUGCAACUGACGCUGAGGCACGAAAGUGUGGGGAGCAAACAGGAUUAGAUACCCUGGUAGUCCACACUGUAAACGAUGGAUACUAGAUGU
rnacentral:rRNA from 1 species